GAUGAACGCUGGCGGCGUGCCUAAUACAUGCAAGUCGAGCGAACAGACGAGGAGCUUGCUCCUCUGACGUUAGCCGCGGACGGGUGAGUAACACGUGGAUAACCUACCUAUAAGACUGGGAUAACCUCGGGAAACCGGAGCUAAUACCGGAUAAUAUAUUGAACCGCAUGGUUCAAUAGUGAAAGACGGUUUUGCUGUCACUUACAGAUGGAUCCGCGCCGCAUUAGCUAGUUGGUAAGGUAACGGCUUACCAAGGCAACGAUGCGUAGCCGACCUGAGAGGGUGAUCGGCCACACUGGAACUGAGACACGGUCCAGACUCCUACGGGAGGCAGCAGUAGGGAAUCUUCCGCAAAGGGCGAAAGCCUGACGGAGCAACGCCGCGUGAGUGAUGAAGGUCUUCGGAUCGUAAAACUCUGUUAUUAGGGAAGAACAAAUGUGUAAGUAACUAUGCACGUCUUGACGGUACCUAAUCAGAAAGCCACGGCUAACUACGUG
rnacentral:rRNA from 1 species